AAGCGGAGAACAUUCCGAGCCGGAACACCUAACGGGUCACAGGCCCCACGGUGACCGCGCCGGGGUCGCGCGCCGGAUUACGCGUUGACCCAAAGGGUGCGUUGGAAAACCGACGCGCCUCCCGAUUUGGAAAGGAAGGAUGAAAAUGAAAAA
rnacentral:ncRNA from 2 species